rnacentral:rRNA from 1 species
GCGAACGGGUGAGUAACACGUAAAGAACCUGCCUCAUAGACGGGGACAACUAUUGGAAACGAUAGCUAAUACCGCAUAAGAGUAGAUGUUGCAUGACAUUUGCUUAAAAGGUGCAAUUGCAUCACUACCAGAUGGACCUGCGUUGUAUUAGCUAGUUGGUGGGGUAACGGCUCACCAAGGCGACGAUACAUAGCCGACCUGAGAGGGUGAUCGGCCACACUGGGACUGAGACACGGCCCAGACUCCUACGGGAGGCAGCAGUAGGGAAUCUUCGGCAAUGGACGGAAGUCUGACCGAGCAACGCCGCGUGAGUGAAGAAGGUUUUCGGAUCGUAAAGCUCUGUUGUAAGAGAAGAACGAGUGUGAGAGUGGAAAGUUCACACUGUGACGGUAUCUUACCAGAAAGGGACGGCUAACUACGUGCCAGCAGCCGCGGUAAUACGUAGGUCCCGAGCGUUGUCCGGAUUUAUUGGGCGUAAAGCGAGCGCAGGCGGUUAGAUAAGUCUGAAGUUAAAGGCUGUGGCUUAACCAUAGUACGCUUUGGAAACUGUUUAACUUGAGUGCAAGAGGGGAGAGUGGAAUUCCAUGUGUAGCGGUGAAAUGCGUAGAUAUAUGGAGGAACACCGGUGGCGAAAGCGGCUCUCUGGCUUGUAACUGACGCUGAG